GAUGGUUCUGUUCUAUUCAAGUUUUUUCUGCAUUCUAUUUUUGUGAAACAAUUACCGGAAGAAGAUUUAUCCCUAUAAAAUAAAGUAUGUUAUUACGACAGGUUUUGUGACUAUUUGAGUUAGUUUUACAUUGAAAGUUAUUUACCUUGGUGCAAAAUUUCGCAACGGAUUUUUUUAUUCGAUGAAAAGUGACCAGUAGCAGAGGGACAUUUCUAAUGCCCACUGCCAUUUGAUGAAACACAGAUGGUUACCAUCCAGGAUCGUCGGCAGACGUCGAGUAUAGAAGUGUUAUUUGGACUCACCA